CCGAUAGCCUGAGAGCUGAUGGUGACCGCUUAUGCGGGAAUCUGGUGAUCCUAUGCUGCCUAGAAAAACUUCGACGCGAGGUUCUAGCCGCCCGUACCCCAAACCGACUCAGGUGAUCAGGUAGAGAAUACCAAGGCGAUCGAGAGAAUCGUGGUUAAGGAACUCGGCAAAAUGCCCCCGUAACUUCGGGAGAAGGGGGGCCUGAAGCGUGAACCGACUUGCUCGGGGAGCGUGAAGGGCCGCAGAGACCAGGGAGAAGCGACUGUUUACUAAAAACACAGGUCCGUGCGAAGUCGCAAGACGAUGUAUACGGACUGACGCCUGCCCGGUGCUGGAAGGUUAAGAGGACGGGUCAGCCGCAAGGCGAAGCUCAGAAUUUAAGCCCCAGUAAACGGCGGUGGUAACUAUAACCAUCCUAAGGUAGCGAAAUUCCUUGUCGGGUAAGUUCCGACCUGCACGAAUGGCGUAACGACUUCUCCGCUGUCUCAACCGCGAACUCGGCGAAAUUGCACUACGAGUAAAGAUGCUCGUUACGCGCAGCAGGACGGAAAGACCCCGGGACCUUUACUAUAGCUUGGUAUUGGUGUUCGGUGCGGCUUGUGUAGGAUAGGUGGGAGACUGUGAAGCCGGCACGCCAGUGUCGGUGGAGUCAACGUUGAAAUACCACUCUGGUCGCUCUGGAUAUCUAACCUCGGUCCGUAAUCCGGACCAGGGACAGUGCCUGGUGGGUAGUUUAACUGGGGCGGUUGCCUCCUAAAAUGUAACGGAGGCGCUCAAAGGUUCCCUCAGCCUGGUUGGCAAUCAGGUGGCGAGUGCAAGUGCACAAGGGAGCUUGACUGUGAGACCGACAGGUCGAGCAGGGACGAAAGUCGGAACUAGUGAUCCGGCGGUGGCUUGUGGAAGCGCCGUCGCUCAACGGAUAAAAGGUACCCCGGGGAUAACAGGCUGAUCUUGCCCAAGAGUCCAUAUCGACGGCAUGGUUUGGCACCUCGGUGUCGGCUCGUCGCAUCCUGGGGCUGGAGUAGGUCCCAAGGGUUGGGCUGUUCGCCCAUUAAAGCGGUACGCGAGCUGGGUUUAGAACGUCGUGAGACAGUUCGGUCCCUAUCCGCUGCGCGCGCAGGAAACUUGAGAAGGGCUGUCCCUAGUACGAGAGGACCGGGACGGACGAACCUCUGGUGUGCCAGUUGUUCCGCCAGGAGCACGGCUGGUUGGCUACGUUCGGAAGGGAUAACCGCUGAAAGCAUCUAAGCGGGAAGCCUGCUUCAAGAUGAGGUUUCCACGGGAACUUGAUUCCCGAGAGGCUCCCAGCUAGACCACUGGGUAGAUAGGCCGGAUGUGGAAGAAGGGACUAAAGACCUUCGCAGCUGACCGGUACUAAUAAGCCGACAAC
rnacentral:rRNA from 1 species